UAGUGGCGGACGGGUGAGUAACGCGUGGGUAACCUGCCAUAUACAGGGGGAUAACACUUAGAAAUAGGUGCUAAUACCGCAUAAGCGCACAGGGGCGCAUGCCCCGGUGUGAAAAACUCCGGUGGUAUAUGAUGGACCCGCGUCUGAUUAGCCAGUUGGCAGGGUAACGGCCUACCAAAGCGACGAUCAGUAGCCGGCCUGAGAGGGCGGACGGCCACAUUGGGACUGAGACACGGCCCAAACUCCUACGGGAGGCAGCAG
rnacentral:rRNA from 1 species